GAGGGAGUGAUGGAGGCAGAUGCAGUGAGACCAGUUCUAGGGGCUGUAUCAUCUUCCCUAUUCAUCACUUCAUAGUCAAACUCCAAGUCUUUCAGCCAUUUUCCAGUUACUUCCCUGGGGUCAUGCUGAUUGAAAAGAGCCCACUACAAAUUUAAAAUUAAUUGGAAACUAAUAAUCUAAUUCUUCAAAACUGAAAAAGAAAUUGAACAAGCCAUCAAAGAACUCUCUAAGAAAAAAUCCCCAGGUCCAGAUGGAUUCACAAAUGAAUUUUAUCAAACAUUCAAAGAACAACUAAUCCUAAUAUUAUACAAACUAUUUGACAGAAUAAGCAAAGAAGGAGUUCUACCAAAUUCCUUUCAUGACACAAAUAUGGUACUAAUUCCAAAGCCAAGUAGGUCAAAAACAGA